UAGCCCACAUGCUAGUUCAGGAACCGCUUCAGGCUGGCCAUUCACAACCUAUUCUCAGUCCUUGGAACACACCCAUCUUUGUAAUCAAGAAAAGAAUCUGGCCACUGGAGAUUAGUACAAGAUCUCAAGGCAGUUAAUUGUGUUAAGGAGCCCACAGAAGCCUUAUAAACAGGGCUUCCUUCUACAGCUAUUCCUUUGGGUUAUCAUUUAAUAGUACUAGAUUUAAAAGAUUGUUUCUUUUCUAUACCUUUACACCCAGAGGACUGUAAAAGGUUUGCCUUUAG
rnacentral:sRNA from 1 species